CUGAUAUGCAGGAUGAUGGUGCCGAUGAAAUUAAGGAAACCAAAAACGACAAUGAACAACAGUGAGGGAACUGGUCCUCAGAUUAUCAUUUGGCUUCUUUCUUCCUGGCUGUUUUUAUUGGGAGAAGCUGCUUCUUUUUUAUUUCCUUUCUCCUGUCUUUCGGGUUUCCCUUUUUAUCCGUGGCAACGAACAACUUUGAAUAUUGAUGUUCAAUUGUUUCAUCUGUACCUUAAUGUGGUUCUUGCUGGUGCUUAGUUUCUAUGAAAGCAUUUCAGUUGUAUUUGUGAACUGGAUAUAUAAAAUGGUACAUCCAAGUGAUACUCAGCAACCGGG
rnacentral:misc_RNA from 1 species